UUCUGCCCUUCCGUUUUCAUCCUCUAAAAAUCAAAGACCAAAAAACUGCAAGCGCUGAAGCUUUGAGUUCAAACCAUCAACGCUAAAAGAUAAGCAGAAAAUCGAAGAAAAAUGGUUUUGGAAAUUAUGGAACCAAACACUUGUAUCCGGGGUUGUUGCUACAGCCAAACAAUCCCUCUGCAUCUCCGCCCUUCUUCUUAUUCCCUUUUUUCUCCAAUCGCCAGAGGUGCAGAGAGUGUGGUGUAUGAAGCCGUUCUUGAUGGUAAAAAAGUGGCCGUCAAGAAACCAAUUUUAUCUACUUCCGAGGAUCUCGAUAAAUUCCACAAAGAAUUGCAGUUACUCAGCAAGUUAGAUCACCCGGGAAUAUUAAAGCUAGUGGCGGCACAUGCCAGGCCUCCGAACUACAUGUUUUUCUUUGAAUUCUAUGAGGCUGGAAACCUUGCACAGAAGCUGCACGUGGAAGAACGGAGUCUAAGCAUUGGUCAAGUGAUUGAGAUCACUGCCCAGUUAGCAAAAGCUCUUCUAUAUCUGCAUAGCCUUGGGAUUGUACAUAGGGAUGUGAAACCAGCAAAUAUUCUUCUUGACGAGAAUCUUCAUCCACAUCUCGCAGAUUUUGGUUUGGCAGAAUACAAGAAAGAUCUUAAACAAGUUUCUAUCCUGAACUGGAAAUCCUCUGGCAAACCAACUGGUGGUUUCCAUAAAAAAAAUAUGGUUGGCACACUUAUUUACAUGGCACCUGAAGUACUGAGGAAAGAGAUUCAUACUGAAAAAUCAGAUGUCUAUAGUUUUGGAGUAACUGUUAAUGAACUUCUUACCGGUGUAGUUCCAUACACUGAUCGUCGAGCAGAGGCACAGGCCCAUACAGUCUUGGAAAUGAGCUACACUGAGCAGCGACUUACGGCAGCUGUGGUGUCUGAAGGAUUACGACCUGUUCUUGCUGGUCCCGAGUUGGGUGUGCCCACUGGUUUGCUCUCUCUAAUACAGAGAUGUUGGGAUGCAGAUCCUCAAAAUAGACCUUCUCUUAGUGAUAUAGUUUCAGAACUCAAUGUAAUGUUGGAGUGUGGAGAAACAGAAGGUGCAAAGAAAGAUACCUCUGUUGACUCUUUUGUAUCAUGCGGCAAUGUUGAUACCACUAAUAGUCAGAGUUAUCAAGAGCCUAUGAAUUGGUUUACCUGUGGCCAAGAUUUUCCAGAGAAGGCUUAUCUUUCCUCUGAGGAUGCCCCAUCAACCCGGCUUUCUUCAAAUGAUUCUAUGGUUUAUUGUCCAGUGGUUUCUUGUGGUUCCUUUUCAACUUGUGGGAGAAGAGAAACCAUGGAGGAUAGACACUUUAUGUUCCCCCAUUUUUCCAAAGAAAACGACAUCCAUUUCUUCGGGAUCCUGGAUGGUCAUCGAGGUGCUGCUGCCGCUGAGUUUUCAGCUGGGGCUCUACCUGGAUUUUUGCAAACUCUGCUUCCCAUGAGCAGUCCAUCACAGGCACUACUUGAAGCAUUUGUCAAGACUGAUAUUGCCUUCAGGAAUGAACUAAAUUCUCGUAGGGAAUCCAAGGGAACUAUUCAGAAGGACUGGCACCCUGGCUGUACUGCCAUCACUGCUCUAAUAGUUAAAAACAAGCUAUUUGUUGCUAAUGCUGGAGAUUGCAGAACGAUUAUAUCUCGAGCAGGACAACCUAAUGCUUUAAGCAGGGAUCAUGUGGCAAGUUGCCCUGAGGAGAGAGAGCGUGUCAUCAGUGCUGGUGGCCAAGUCAAAUGGCAAGUUGAUACGUGGAGAAUUGGUCCUGCAGCUCUCCAGGUCACACGGUCCAUUGGUGAUGAUGAUCUAAAGCCUUUUGUAACUGCAGAACCUGAGAUGACUGAAACUUUGCUGUCAGCAGAAGAUGAAUACAUAGUAAUGGCGAGCGAUGGGUUAUGGGACGUGGUGAGCAAUGCAGAUGUGGUAAGCAUAAUCAAAGACACUGUAAAAGAGCCCGGAAUGUGCUCAAAGAGACUGGCAACUGAAGCUGCAGAACGAGGCAGCAAAGAUAACAUCACAGUUAUCGUUGUCUUCUUGCGUCCUGUUUCUACAGCGGAGAGGAUUUACUAGCUUCAACAACAAUUUAUUAUACAGAAAUUGUUUAUAUCGAAGAAAAAAUGAAGAUUAAAACGAAUGGCACUGGUGAACGUAGAAAACUGGAGCGCUCCCAACUCAGCCAACCUCAUCGAUCCCAUCUAUCCAUGUGGCAGCUAGCCCUUUCCGAGGGGUCAAGCAGAAGUGCGGAAGAAAACACCGCUCCUUCAGCUGCUGUUCUUCCGGAGGAGCCGCAGCAGGCUGUGCAGGAGAAUCGAGCGGUGAAUGCAGCCGAUCAAGAACGGGAGUAUGGCUGCAAGUACUGCCAUAAGAAGUUCAGCAACAAGCAGGCGUUGGGCGGGCACCAGAACGCGCAUAAGGUAGAACGUGCAAUGGAGAAAAGUGCACGAGAAAUGCACGAGAGCCAGUUUGGAUACAUGGGUGGGAAUCCGUCGUAUUCCGCCAUGAAUCCCGACCCUUUUCUUGCUUCUUACAACAGAUCUCAUGAAUUCAUGAGCAGGGCUGUCGGAAACCGGCCCUUUUAUCCUCCCGUGCAACAUGGGACGUCGAUCCACAUCGGCGGCGCCUACAAUGCACGUCCCGGCAUGGCGGGCGAGCCUUACGCACGCCGUCCUCUCCCAGGGCUUAAUUACCCUGCGGGAUGGACAGCACCCGUGCCUAGAACGCCUCAUUUUGCACAUCCUUCGUAUGUGCAAAACCGUGCUCUAAAUCGUCGGUUUACGACGUUUGGAGCAGGCAGUUCUAGUGGUAGGCCGUCGUUUUCUGAGGGGCCGUCGAGUCUUCCUGGACCAACGCCCAGGCCAGACAGGAACCCUGUAGGCGGCGGAAGCAACCAGCAAGACGAGGAUCCGGACA